rnacentral:lncRNA from 1 species
GGAGGUCUUACGGGUUUGGAACGACAUGAGGGUGAGUCAUUAAUGACAUAAUUUUAAUAUUUGGGUGAACUAACCCUUUAAGGGCGAUUUCCAAUGACGGCACUGCUCACCACAUUUAUUCCUCAGCCAAAACUACUUGCUCUGGAACAAAUAAUAGAUUAAUGAGACCAAAGACUACUCAUGAGAUUUACCCAAAACAGAUUAUAUCUCAUGUUUAAUCACUAUAGAGCCAGCGACAAAUUCCAGAAGAGCUGGCCAAGGUAAGGCUGCUCUCAGCGGGUCCAUGAGCACUGAAAGGCUGAUGACGCCCUGGAGCUCACCUUUCCGAAGAAGUUGAAGCUAAUUUUCAAAUAGAUGUUAUCUUUAUUAAUAUACCACAUAUUUUAAGUAAAAACAACAACAUUCUUGCCUAAAACAAAUUGUACAACUACAUUCCGUGACACUAACUACACGUGACGUGACAAAUUUCGCAUGUCGCAGUUAUUAAGGACAAAACCUGAUUAACAUGGAAAAGAUACAUUUUAUUGUGUGUCGCGGCGUCACGUGUAUUUAGGACACGGUGUUAUUUAUAAAAUUUAUAGUGGAUUUAGGCAUCCACCAUGACACUCGCUGUGAGAAAUACUGCAAGCAGAGUGAUACAAAUGGUAAAACGGUUGGAGUUCUGUUAUCACUAGAAUAACUGACAUUAGGAGUGAUUAGGAGAAAUGUACAGAAUAUAAUUGCAAACUUUUUUCCACAACUGUCUGUUAUUCCAAUGAGGGUGAGGUUAUCUUUAGGGUGCAACUUCCUGUGGGCUGCUGGCUGAAGGUGAAGGAGGCAGGUGAAGUUCUUCUGGAGGAGUUUGUUCUGAAGCCUCUACUGGCCUUGAACUCUUUGAGCCCUACUGCAGAACUCUACCGGCUGAAUAGGAAGAUAAUGGACAGUCCCUUUAACUAUCAGUCCAGGCAGAGGAUCUAGUGGCAGAUGUCUAUUUAGUGUCAUUCGAUGGACAUCUGUUCAAACUCCCAGCUUACUGUUACUGCAUUCUAGCAGCUGAUGUCAUCCAGCACACCUUUAACAUAGCGCUCAAGUCCGACAGGUUCAAAUGUUGCUCACUUGUGGUGCAAAUGCAAAACAUAAAGAUUUCAAUUCACCCAAAUGGAGAGGUACAUGUUCUUGUUAUUAUGAUGUAUGAUAUUUGUUUAUUAGCUGAUUUAGAAACUUAAAAUGAUAUAAUUAAAUAGAGUAAUAAAACAUUUGUUGAUUUUAGGUGGAGGUUAAUUGCCAUGUUCCACAUAUACCAUACACUAAAUGUGAAGUGGCUAUCAGAAAGGAUGUGAACUUAAAGGGAUGUUCACAUCAUUCAUUUGUCAUAAAUUUUUUGUCAUUAAUCACUUACCCCCAUGUCGUUCCAAACCUGUAUAAGCUUUGUUCGCUUUGAAACACAAUUUAAGAUAUUUUGGAUGAAAACCGGGAGCCCUGUGACUGUCCCAUAGACUUGCCAAAUAAAUAACAGU